rnacentral:rRNA from 1 species
UACGUAGGGUGCGAGCGUUAAUCGGAAUUACUGGGCGUAAAGGGCGCGCAGGCGGCUACGCACGUCCGUUGUGAAAUCGCUCGGCUCAACUGGGCGGGGUCAGCGGAUACGGCGUGGCUGGAGCAAGCUAGGGGGCAAUGGAAUUCCCGGUGUAGCGGUGAAAUGCGUAGAUAUCAGGAGGAACACCGGUGGCGAAGGCGGCUACCUGGACAGAAACUGACGCUGAGGCGCGAAAGCUAGGGGAGCAAACAGG